rnacentral:tRNA from 1 species
AGGUUUGUAGCUCAGGUGGUUAGAGCGCACCCCUGAUAAGGGUGAGGUCGGUGGUUCAAGUCCACUCAGGCCUACCA